rnacentral:rRNA from 1 species
AAAGCUUGCUUUUCUGAAUCUAGUGGCGAACGGGUGAGUAACACGUAGGUAACCUGCCCAUGUGCCCGGGAUAACUUCUGGAAACGGAUGCUAAAACCGGAUAGGUAGCAGACAAGCAUUUGACUGCUAUUAAAGUGGCCUUGGCCAUGAACAUGGAUGGACCUGCGGUGCAUUAGCUAGUUGGUGAGGUAACGGCCCACCAAGGCGACGAUCAGUAGCCGACCUGAGAGGGCGACCGGCCACAUUGGGACUGAGACACGGCCCAAACUCC